ACACUACGCUGAAACGCUGUUCCCAUACAAUCACCAAAGUUAAGCAAUGUUGAGCUUGGUCAGUACCUAGAUGGGUGACCACCUGGGAAUACCAGGUGCU